GGCUUCCUCUCUCUUGUCUCCCUCACACCAGCCACGAAGGUUUUCAAAGCCUUUGGUUUCAAUCUGACGUGAAGAGAGUUGAAUGAAGGGAUCUUCAGAGCGUUACCAGAAAGAGAACCGGUUCCAAACUCAGGUUCAGCUGCUCACCACUCGCAGAACAACACUUGAGAGAUAAGUGAUGGUAGGAAAGGACAGGUUGCUUUGUUCAGGAAGCCAGAAACCUGGGAAAAUGGUGGACUAACGUCUCCAGGACCAUCUUCCCUGUCCAGGUGCAUUCGGACCAUGAACUCAAAGGCAGGGACCAUGGUUCAUUCAUCUCUGCAUCACAGAGCCUAGCCUGGAAUACGAUAUUGUUGGAGGAGGUCAGCAAGAGGACGUGACUGCAGGUUGACCCGUGAGCUGGACCCAACAGUCGGAGGCUCCUCACCUCCAAUUCUGUCCUUGGAAUAUACACUCCGCUGGCCUUCCCCACUUCCAGAGGCUGCCCCAAGGACACGGCCUUGAGAUAGGUGGUGAUGAGAACACCCGCAUGGUGUACAUGACUGAGCCCAGGUAAAGCCUCCAUAUAAACUUCUAAGAUCUAGCCGGUGGUGCGGGGAUUAACUUGCUCCUCAGGACAAGCCUCAUAUGUAAGUUCCCUUGUUUAUUAAACCCACCACCCACCGACCUGGAGUGGCCUGUCUCUUUCUCUGGUUUCCCCUUUCUUUCUGCUUGCAAGUCCAGUUUCAGAUUUCACCUGGGAAGCUCCAGACGGGGUUGUGAACUAACUGUUGAGCCAGCCAGGACACUAAAGAAAUGGGCCUUGGGAGAGAGGCAUUCUACAGAACAAUCCUGAGUUGGCCAUCAAUUUCUGCGUGCGGGGCAUGGGGUCCCAUGGAUUAGAGGCUUGUGGACCACACGACACCUUGCAGGUGAUACACUUACAAGGGAGAGAAUAGACAGUGAACCUACAGAAAAUUCAAGGCCCAGGCACUACCAUAAAGUCUUGGGAGUUAUUUGGUCAGGAUCUCAGGAGACAAGUAUUUAGCAUGUCUGUAUGAAGGAAAUGUACCACUCAUGACAGGGAUCCCAGGAGACAAGUAUUUAGCAUGUCUGUAUGAAGGAAAUGUACCACUCAUGACAGGGUG